rnacentral:rRNA from 1 species
CCUACGGGGGGCAGCAGUGGGGAAUAUUGGACAGUGGGGGCAACCCUGAUCCAGCCAUGCCGCGUGUGUGAAGAAGGCCCUCGGGUUGUAAAGCACUUUCAGUGAGGAAGAACGCCUGGUGGUUAAUACCCAUCAGGAAAGACAUCACUCACAGAAGAAGCACCGGCUAACUCCGUGCCAGCAGCCGCGGUAAUACGGAGGGUGCGAGCGUUAAUCGGAAUUACUGGGCGUAAAGCGCGCGUAGGUGGCUUGAUAAGCCGGUUGUGAAAGCCCCGGGCUCAACCUGGGAACGGCAUCCGGAACUGUCAAGCUAGAGUGCAGGAGAGGAAGGUAGAAUUCCCGGUGUAGCGGUGAAAUGCGUAGAGAUCGGGAGGAAUACCAGUGGCGAAGGCGGCCUUCUGGACUGACACUGACACUGAGGUGCGAAAGCGUGGGUAGCAAACAGGAUUAGAUACCCUAGUAGUC